AACGGCCGCGGUAUCCUAACCGUGCAAAGGUAGCAUAAUCACUUGCCUAUUAAUUGUAGGCUAGAAUGAAUGGGUUAACGAAAUAAAGACUGUCUCAAUUAAUCACCUAAAAAUUACUAUCUACCUGAAGAAGAGUAGAUAAUCUCGAAGGACAAGAAGACCCUAUAGAGCUUAAUUUUAAUUAUAGGACUAUACUAUAAAAAUAUUCGGUUGGGGCGACCCAGGGCUAAUUAAUCACCCACUACAUAAAAGAUAAAUUAAUCAAGUAAUUGACCCCUAAAAGAUCACAAGAACAAGCUACCUUAGGGAUAACAGGCUAAUCCCACUCAAGAGUCCUUAUCAACAGUGGGGUUUGGCACCUCGAUGUUGGCUUAGG
rnacentral:rRNA from 1 species